rnacentral:rRNA from 1 species
UACGGAGGGUGCUAGCGUUGUUCGGAAUUACUGGGCGUAAAGGGCGCGUAGGCGGUUGUUCAAGUCAGGUGUGAAAGCCUUGAGCUCAACUCAAGAAAUGCACUUGAUACUGGAUGACUAGAGGACCGGAGAGGAUAGUGGAAUUCCCAGUGUAGUGGUGAAAUACGUAGAGAUUGGGAAGAACACCAGUGGCGAAGGCGGCUAUCUGGACGGUUUCUGACGCUAAGACGCGAAAGCGUGGGGAGCAAACAGG